AGGAUGAACGCUGGCGGCGUGCCUAACACAUGCAAGUCGAACGUCCUGUCUCGCAAGAGGCAGGGAGUGGCGGACGGGUGAGUACCACGUGGGUUAUCUACCGUGAGGUGAGGAAUACCGGCGAGAAAUCGCCGACAAGACCGCAUAGCCUCGGUGCAAGCCGAGGAAAGCUUUCUCGAGAGAGGGAGCGCCACACGAGGAGCCUGCGCCCGAUUAGCUAGCUGGUGGAGUAACGGUUCACCAGGGCGACGAUCGGUAGCUGGUCUGAGAGGACGAUCAGCCACACUGGGAUUGAGAACGGCCCAGACUCCUACGGGGGGCAGCAGUGAGGAAUUUUCGUCAAUGGGGGCAACCCUGAACGAGCAACGCCGCGUGCAGGAAGAAGGUUUUCGGAUCGUAAACUGCUUUUCUCGGGGAAGAGAACGGACGGUACCCGAGGAAUCAGCCCCGGCUAACUACGUGCCAGCCAGCCGACGGUAA
rnacentral:rRNA from 1 species